rnacentral:rRNA from 1 species
GAUGAACGCUGGCGGCGUGCCUAAUACAUGCAAGUCGAGCGAACAGACGAGGAGCUUGCUCCUCUGACGUUAGCGGCGGACGGGUGAGUAACACGUGGAUAACCUACCUAUAAGACUGGGAUAACUUCGGGAAACCGGAGCUAAUACCGGAUAAUAUAUUGAACCGCAUGGUUCAAUAGUGAAAGACGGUUUUGCUGUCACUUAUAGAUGGAUCCGCGCCGCAUUAGCUAGUUGGUAAGGUAACGGCUUACCAAGGCAACGAUGCGUAUCCGACCUGAGAGGGUGAUCGGCCACACUGGAACUGAGACACGGUCCAGACUCCUACGGGAGGCAGCAGUAGGGAAUCUUCCGCAAUAGGCGAAAGCCUGACGGAGCAACGCCGCGUGAGUGAUGAAGGUGUUCGGAUCGUAAAACUCUGUUAUUAGGGAAGAACAAAUGUGUAAGUAACUAUGCACGUCUUGACGGUACCUAAUCAGAAAGCCACGGCUAACUACGUG